rnacentral:tRNA from 1 species
GAGGUUGUGGCUCAGUGGUAGAGCCCUCGCCUAGCAUAAUCAGGGCCCUGUGUUUGAUCCUCAGCACCACA